GCAGAGGACAUGGGGAAGGGAGAUAAAGAACGGCAACGCCCCGCAAACGGGUUGUGCCGGGAGAAGAAAGAACUUUGUACAUAGACUUGUUGUUAUCAUGGCGAUUUUCAUCGUCGAUCCAUCGUUCAAACUCCGUUUGACUUGUGGCAU